GGGAGGCAGCAGUGAGGAAUAUUGGACAAUGGGCGCAAGCCUGAUCCAGCCAUGCCGCGUGUGUGAAGAAGGCCUUCGGGUUGUAAAGCACUUUUGUCCGGAAAGAAAAGCCUGGGGCUAAUACCCUCGGGUUAUGACGGUACCGGAAGAAUAAGCACCGGCUAACUUCGUGCCAGCAGCCGCGGUAAUACGAAGGGUGCAAGCGUUACUCGGAAUUACUGGGCGUAAAGCGUGCGUAGGUGGUUUGUUAAGUCUGAUGUGAAAGCCCUGGGCUCAACCUGGGAACUGCAUUGGAUACUGGCUUACUAGAGUGCGGUAGAGGGGUGUGGAAUUCCCGGUGUAGCAGUGAAAUGCGUAGAUAUCGGGAGGAACAUCUGUGGCGAAGGCGACACCCUGGACCAGCACUGACACUGAGGCACGAAAGCGUGGGGAGCAAACAGGAUUAGAAACCCUAGUAGUCC
rnacentral:rRNA from 1 species